GCGUGGCUCAGGGGCAGAGCGGACAUCUGCCUUGCGCGCUGGAAGGCCCAGGUUAAAUCCCUGGUAAAAUCC